CUACGGGAUGCAGCAGUGGGGAAUAUUGCACAAUGGAGGAAACUCUGAUGCAGCAACGCCGCGUGGAGGAUGACACUUUUCGGAGCGUAAACUCCUUUUAUAUAGGAAGAAGAUGACGGUACUAUAUGAAUAAGCGCCGGCUAACUCCGUGCCAGCAGCCGCGGUAAUACGGAGGGCGCAAGCGUCACUCGGAAUCACUGGACGUAAAGAGCGUGUAGGCGGAUUAAAAAGUCAGAAGUGAAAUCCUAUAGCUUAACUAUAGAACUGCUUCUGAAACUCUUAAUCUAGAAUGUGGGAGAGGUAGAUGGAAUUUCUGGUGUAGGGGUAAAAUCCGUAGAGAUCAGAAGGAAUACCGAUUGCGAAGGCGAUCUACUAGAACAUUAUUGACGCUGAGACGCGAAAGCGUGGGGAGCAAACAGGAUUAGAUACCCCUGUAGUC
rnacentral:rRNA from 1 species